UACGUAGGGUGCGAGCGUUAAUCGGAAUUACUGGGCGUAAAGCGUGCGCAGGCGGUUUUGUAAGCCAGAUGUGAAAUCCCCGGGCUUAACCUGGGAAUGGCAUUUGGGACUGCAAGGCUGGAGUUUGGCAGAGGAGACUGGAAUUCCUGGUGUAGCAGUGAAAUGCGUAGAUAUCAGGAGGAACACCGAUGGCGAAGGCAGGUCUCUGGGCUGACACUGACGCUGAGGCGCGAAGACCAGGGGAGCGAACGGG
rnacentral:rRNA from 1 species